rnacentral:lncRNA from 1 species
GACUUGAUCACGCCGCAGGAGACAGCUUGCAGGGAGCUUCUCUCUGCGUCACAGUCACGCAAUCCAAGUCUUGUCUCCCUGGCAAUACAAUUUCUCCAGGAAGGGAAGGCAGAAGCCUGCAGCCCUGCCGGCAAAGCAUCAGCAGAGCAUGAGGAGCAAGCUUCUCUGGCUCCCAGCUCGGGCUGUCGGCCCCAAGCAUUGCACCCCGGGGGCCAGCUGUCUCUGUGUUCAGCCCAGCCUCAUGCUGCUAAAAACCCCUUGGCCAGGAAGACCCUAUCAAGUGCCCUGGGGCUGGAGUGGUUUCCAGAGCUCUAUCCUGGCUAUCUUGGACUCGGUGUAUUGCCAGGGAAGCCUCAGCUUUGGAGCGCAGUGGCCCAGAAGCCUCUGCUCAUCAGCCCCCAGGGGGAAAGGCUUUCCCAAGAGCACUCACAGCCUUCCUUGUUUCACUCAUUGUACCAGGGCCUUCCAGCACCCCGGAUCUGUGACUCUUCUCAGAACCUUGCUGCUUGCUCCCAGGGGUCAGUAAUAACGGUGGUUUGUCACUCUCCCUUCCCCUCCACCAGGAGUUGAAGGUUGGACCGGGACAGGCUGGCCGGUGAUGUUGGUAACAGUUGAACCUCUACACUGCGAGAAGGCAUGACCUCUUCUAGAAGUUGAGUGGGCAUUCAUGCCGAACAGACACAGAAAAAGCAUAGAUUUCAGGGUCUGCCUAAAAACAAGACAAGCCCUGUGCUUAAGAUUUCAUCCAGGACCAGGUUGGACACAAAAUGGACUCCAGGUGUGUGGUCAGCCACAGCAUCCAGCAGCUUAGAGUAGCAAAGAAAUGCAGGGAGCAGGUGUGGGGGUUGCUCUUGGGGCCAGGCCAGGGUUACAGCUGUCCAGGGAGGCAGGGCAGUCAAGGCAGGUGGAAGUGGAGGCUCGGGAUUGAGCUGAUGAAGACGAGGAUGGAAGGUGUGACCAGAAAGGGACAAGUUCACACAUAGGAGAAGUGGUCCACUAUGACCUAAGGAUAGAACCAGAGAUUGAGCCUCAAGACACCAGAGACUAGAUGAGAGGGACAGGGUAGGGAGAGCCUGGAAGUCGAAGCUGGCGGGAUCAUGAGUCUCUCUUCCAAAGCUCCCUAGGUCGCUCCUCACUGAUGCCUAGGAUGGUUUAGCCAGGGGGCGGGACGGAGGCCCAGGUAGGAGCCAGUGAUUUCCCAGCAGCCCUCGCAGGUGCCUUUUUUCAGCUGAUUCUCACCUUUAGUAAUCACACUACUCCUCUAGUUAUGAAACACAAAUUGUCUCCGUUUUCCCCACCAAAAUUUUGAAUUACCUUUUCCUUUUUAUUAGGCUUUCUAGAGGCGUGGUCACUGUAGCAUCCGUCUCUUUCUUGUGGCACAUUCUUUGGUGCGUUUGGAUUAUUUUGACCGGAGCCCUGGAACCACUCAGAAUCAGCUUGCCCCUGAAAAGCUUGUAUUAUCUCUUCCCUAAAGGGAUGUAUUUUCACCCACUGGUGUGUUUUGUGAAUGAUCACGUGUGUACUAAAGCCCUGUUUGCCCUUUCUGGAAAGCGUUCUCAUUCGAAGUUUUCCACAUGAAAAGUGCAUUAAGUAACGAGGGUUUCUAGUUGAAAGCUGUGUUUUCUUGAGCUGCCUCUGUAGUUAACCAGGUCUUCUACAGAUGGGGCCAGCAUCUUUUCUCUCUACGGAGAUGCAGUAUCACGCCCUUUCUCCAUGGUAACGUGGAAAUAACACAUUUGUGUUGCUUUGUGGUUUUUGGGGUGCCUCGCCCCUUCUGAUUUUGGCCACACCCCUCUGAGAGGUGGGCAGAGUGGUUUCCUCUGUUUUGCAGCUGAAACAGGCACAGAGGAUAAGGGUCGUGUCCAAGAUCGUGUUGCCAGUAGAACCCAGUCUCCUGAGGCCUAGUUUAAACCUUUCAACUCAGCCACAUAGUAGAACAUGCGCCACAACUAGACACCUGGGUGUUGGUUUUAUCUCCGUGCUUCUCUGUGGUUUUCAGUUGCAUACACACACACACAGCCCGUAGCAGAUCUCCAGCAAGUGGAAGGGCUUCUUUAUUUUUUUACUUUCUCUAGUGCUAAUGUGAAUUUUCACUUUAGGGGGAAAAGGGAGGGGACUAAUAACCAUCAAGUGAUGGUUGUUUCUGGUCACAUGCCAGGUAUUGGUAUCUUCUUUGUCCCGCCCUCUGAAUCGUUAGGGUUAGUGACAUCCCACCUUCUCCUAAUAGGUGACGAGUCUGGGCCUCAGGUUUAAGUGACUUGCCCUUGCUCCUCCAAAAGCAGCAUUCGGGGUUCAAAUCCAGGUCUAUCUGGCUAAUAUAUCCAGUCUUUAAACCCAGCAUCAGGCUUACUUGAAGGCAGUUAGUGGUCAAUAAACAUAUAGUUGAUUUAAGUUGUUAGUGAUACCAUCACUUUAAGGUCCCAUUAAGUCCCAAGGUAAGAGAUAGAGUAACUUAUAUCAUCAGAUCACUAGGUUUAUGAAAUUGACUAGGGGGAAAAAUAGUUUUUUCCUUUCAUAAUAAGUUCUUUCGGAAUAGUGGUUAGAACUAUUUUGUUCUCUCUCAUUGAUUACAGUCUGUAAUAUGUGGUUAGUUUGGGUUUCCGGAUCAGGUAAUGCAUGGCCAGCACAGGGCCUGUAGUUCUCUCAUAAACCCCAAAACUAUUGAAGUUGACUCCACCAUUAACCUUCAGACUUUGGUGCUGGCCCUGGAUGAACAGACACAAGCGGAGACGCUGAGAUCUCUGUUAAGGUCAAGGCCUGAUUCCUCAGCUGACCGAGGACUUGAGCAAGGCCAUCCAAAUCUACAAGGACCGAGAAGCAGCGUGACUUCCCCGGGCAGUGGCUGUCUCCAGCGACUGCAGCUUACAUCUGCAUUUCCAGGCAGUCUUUGCAGAAGAUCGUGGUCUCUGUGUGGCCUCGAUCAGCCAGGCCCUUUGAUGGGCCGUUCCCUGCUCAGGGAGCACCUCAUUCCCUUGGUAUUUAAAGGCAGGGCCGGUGAGCUAUCAUUACUCAGUUGACUGCCUACCAGAGGUCAUACCUGCAUGUUUUUCUGAGGUACCUUAAGUUCUGGGAGUUGGAAUUGUUCCUUUUUAUAGAGGAGGACACCGAGUUUCAGAGAGGAGAAGUAGCUUGCCCAGCAUCAAGUUUCUAGCAUUAUCUGAUGGUCCUUGGCAGGCUUUUCUGGACAGUGUUUCUUCUGUUGACUGUAGGCUCCGGGGUGUCAUCAUUUAUCUUUCCUACGUGGAACUACGCCAGUGCAGCUAGCGAGUCCUCCUACGUCAGGGUACCUGAGAAGACUUCAGUGGCCAGUCCACCAGGUGGAAAGUCAUCCAGGACCUUGGUUUUGAAGAAACAGGGUAGAACCAGUAGCACUCAUGGCUGAUUGAUGAAAAAUGGGUAUGUUUGGGUGGUCUGGGCUGGGAACUCCCAAGGCAGACUGAUGGUUCUGAAGAUGCCGCUGAGCUGGGUUUCAGGAGAUCAGGACCAAGAGGACGAGGCUUGUGGGAUUCCGCGCUGCCAGGGGCUGUCUCUUCAGCCUCAGGGAGAAAGAGUCUAGUGGACUUAGUACUGAAGGAGUAGUUUCCUGGCCUUAGAAGAAGUAGCUUUUAGCAGUUCAAGAUUGAAAUCUCAAACUCACCGAGUAGCGGUGUCUGAGAGUCCUCAGCCGUGGCAGAGGGUUUCCGUUGUUCAGAGGAGAGCUCUUAGUGCUGGUCGCCUUGGGAGCAUUCAGCCAGGGGUGCUGGGUGCGCCUUCGCAGAGUUCAGGUCCUUGGCUUUGGGGCUGAAAGUUGAGGAGAUCUAAGUCCCUGGUUCCCAAAUGUAGACAGAACAGUUUCACAUGGUUUUGUGUGUUUGUUUGCUUUUUAGGGCCACACUCGCAGCAUAUGGAGGUUCCCAGGCUAUGGGUCCAAUCGGAACUGUAGCCUCUGGCCUAUGCCGGAGGCACAGAGCCAUAGCAACAUCAGAUCUGAGUGGCGUCUGCGACCUGUACCACAGCUCGUGGCAACGCCGGAUCCUCAACCCACUGAGCGCGGCCAGGGAUUGAAUCUGCAACCCAUGGUUCCCAAGCGGAUUUGUUUCCACUGCGCCAUAACGGGAGCUCCCUUUUUUUUUUUUUUUUUUUUAAUUUAAGAUUCUUAGGCAUCUUCCCUAGAGAUUCUGAAGUAAGUCCUAAGAAUAUUUUCCAGCGCUUCCUAAGUGUUCCUGAAGAUUGGCCAGGUUUGAGAACCGCUGAUGGAGGUGAUGACAGUGGAGGAGGUCCCUCAGACCCAGCUACAGAAAGAAUAUUCUCAAAUGGUGGCAGUGGAGAGGUGGUUGGGGGGCGAGGGGGGGAGUAUAUGUAACUACAAAAGGCAAAACUUGGCUGAUGGGGAUACCAGGAGGUAAAGUGAGAAAACCUUAUAGGGUCGUGGGGUUUUAAAGGGCUUAAAAUAAGGCUCUUCUCUAACUUGCAUACAAGAUUUCCAUCCAUAGAGUAUCCGUUGGAGAUGGGGCACUCGUGGGGAAGGGGCUCAGAAUCAGCACGGUGAGCAGGAAGCAGACAGGCCAGAGCUAGACCCCCUGAUAGCCAGAGAAGUCUGUAAAGGGAGCGUUUUAGAAAAGAGCGUGUGAGUCCUCAGCAGCCAGAGGCGUAAGGGGUAAGUCCAGCCCUACUGCUGGGAUCCCGUCUAGGGCGAGGGGAACAGAAGAUGUUACAGGUACAGAGGGCGGAUGAGGGCUUUCAGCAUUCGUGUUAGUGGAACCAUUGUCGCUGAGUUUGAAAUGUAAGGACAUCAGCGCUGGCAGGUGAAGGAGGAUGUGUAGGAGAUGUGGCGGCUGAGGGGUGGCAGUGGGUAGUGGCCGUCCAGGGCUCCCAGCCAGUCCCAGAGGGCUGGCGAUCAGCACCCACAGCCCCUGGGCAGCAGGCAGGGGGGCUUUGAAAAAGGUUGCAGCAGGAUUUUGUGGGAUCUGAGCUUGGCUCUCGGGGGCCGGCGGGGCUCGGGCUGCUAACAUAUCCCAGCUCAGGGCCUGAUCCAGUGACUAAACCUCUAAUGAGUAAGUGGGCUCAGCUGGCUGGAGAAAGACUGAGGAGCCGCCGAGCUCCUGACACUGCGGGGCAAGUGGUUGCACAGUUGCAGCUGUCAUGGAGCGUUUCUCCCCAUCCUCACAGUUUUUUCAAGAUGCAUGGGUGAGGUUGUGUGCUCAUACUGAUCUUCACUUUGCAAGAGAGACAUCUUUUGUGUAAUUUCUUAGAAACCAGCCUGGGUUUGUUUUGUUUUGGCUUUUUAGGGCCGCACCCACGGCAUGUGGAGGUUCCCAGGGAAGGGGUCGAAUCAG